rnacentral:rRNA from 2 species
CGAACUCUGGUAUUGAUUGGUGCUUGCAUCAUGAUUUACAUUUGAGUGAGUGGCGAACUUGGUGAGUAACACGUGGGAAACCUGCCCAGAAGCGGGGGAUAACACCUGGAAACAGAUGCUAAUACCGCAUAACAACUUGGACCGCAUGGUCCGAGUUUGAAAGAUGGCUUCGGCUAUCACUUUUGGAUGGUCCCGCGGCGUAUUAGCUAGAUGGUGGGGUAACGGCUCACCAUGGCAAUGAUACGUAGCCGACCUGAGAGGGUAAUCGGCCACAUUGGGACUGAGACACGGCCCAAACUCCUACGGGAGGCAGCAGUAGGGAAUCUUCCACAAUGGACGAAAGUCUGAUGGAGCAACGCCGCGUGAGUGAAGAAGGGUUUCGGCUCGUAAAACUCUGUUGUUAAAGAAGAACAUAUCUGAGAGUAACUGUUCAGGUAUUGACGGUAUUUAACCAGAAAGCCACGGCUAACUACGUGCCAGCAGCCGCGGUAAUACGUAGGUGGCAAGCGUUGUCCGGAUUUAUUGGGCGUAAAGCGAGCGCAGGCGGUUUUUUAAGUCUGAUGUGAAAGCCUUCGGCUCAACCGAAGAAGUGCAUCGGAAACUGGGAAACUUGAGUGCAGAAGAGGACAGUGGAACUCCAUGUGUAGCGGUGAAAUGCGUAGAUAUAUGGAAGAACACCAGUGGCGAAAGCGGCUGUCUGGUCUGUAACUGACGCUGAGGCUCGAAAGUAUGGGUAGCAACAGAUUAGAUACCCUGGUAGUCCAUACCGUAACGAUGAUGCUAGUGUGGAGGGUUUCGCCCUUCAGUGCUGCAGCUACGCAUAGCAUCCGCCUGGGGGAGUACGGCCGCAAGGCUGAAACUCAAGG